AAUAUUGUUGCUGGGGUGAAGUAAUAGGUGAAGAGGGUGUAGAGCAAAGGACUCAGCACACAGCCCUGAGGGGAGCCGGUGCUGAGGCUAAUGGCUGAAGAAAUGUGAGGGUCAACUCUCAAACCUCUGAGAGCGGUCUGUGAGGAAAGUCCAAGAUCCACCAGUAAAUUGCGUGGGACACCCCCAGGUCCAACAACUUAAUCACCAGUCUGCUUGGAAGGAUGGUAUUAAAUGCUGAGCUAAAGUCCACAAAGAGCAGUCUCCCCUGCUGCUCCAGAUGGGACAGAGCAGCAUGUAGAGCCAUAAUGAUGGCAUCCUCCGUGAACCUGCUUGCAUGAUAAGCAAACUGGUGAGGGUCAA